AUUGAACGCUGGCGGGAUGCUUUACACAUGCAAGUCGGACGGCAGCACGGGCUUCGGCCUGGUGGCGAGUGGCGAACGGGUGAGUAAUGUAUCGGAACGUGCCCAUUAGCGGGGGAUAACUACGCGAAAGCGUAGCUAAUACCGCGUACGCCCUACGGGGGAAAGAGGGGGAUCUUAGGACCUCUCACUAUUGGAGCGGCCGAUAUCGGAUUAGCUAGUAGGUGGGGUAACGGCUCACCUAGGCGACGAUCCGUAGCUGGUUUGAGAGGACGACCAGCCACACUGGGACUGAGACACGGCCCAGACUCCUACGGGAGGCAGCAGUGGGGAAUUUUGGACAAUGGGGGCAACCCUGAUCCAGCCAUCCCGCGUGUGCGGUGAAGGCCUUCGGGUUGUAAAGCACUUUUGGCAGGAAAGAAAAGGGCCUGGCUAAUACCUGGGUCAACUGACGGUACCUGCAGAAUAAGCACCGGCUAACUACGUGCCAGCCGCCGCGGUAAUAC
rnacentral:rRNA from 1 species